rnacentral:rRNA from 1 species
GAUGAACGCUGGCGGCGUGCCUAAUACAUGCAAGUCGAGCGAACGGACGAGAAGCUUGCUUCUCUGACGUUAGCGGCGGACGGGUGAGUAACACGUGGAUAACCUACCUAUAAGACUGGGAUAACUUCGGGAAACCGGAGCUAAUACCGGAUGAUAUUUUGAACCGCAUGGUUCAAAAGUGAAAGACGGUCUUGCUGUCACUUAUAGAUGGAUCCGCGCUGCAUUAGCUAGUUGGUAAGGUAACGGCUUACCAAGGCAACGAUGCAUAGCCGACCUGAGAGGGUGAUCGGCCACACUGGAACUGAGACACGGUCCAGACUCCUACGGGAGGCAGCAGUAGGGAAUCUUCCGCAAUGGGCGAAAGCCUGACGGAGCAACGCCGCGUGAGUGAUGAAGGUCUUCGGAUCGUAAAACUCUGUUAUUAGGGAAGAACAUAUGUGUAAGUAACUAUGCACAUCUUGACGGUACCUAAUCAGAAAGCCACGGCUAACUACGUG